UACGAAGGGGGCUAGCGUUGCUCGGAAUCACUGGGCGUAAAGGGUGCGUAGGCGGGUCUUUAAGUCAGGGGUGAAAUCCUGGAGCUCAACUCCAGAACUGCCUUUGAUACUGAAGAUCUUGAGUUCGGGAGAGGUGAGUGGAACUGCGAGUGUAGAGGUGAAAUUCGUAGAUAUUCGCAAGAACACCAGUGGCGAAGGCGGCUCACUGGCCCGAUACUGACGCUGAUGCACGAAGGCGUGGGGAGCAAACAGG
rnacentral:rRNA from 1 species